AAAUUGAAGAGUUUGAUCAUGGCUCAGAUUGAACGCUGGCGGCAGGCCUAACACAUGCAAGUCGAACGGUAACAGAAAGCAGC
rnacentral:rRNA from 1 species